rnacentral:rRNA from 1 species
GUCUACAGCCAUGCUACCCUGAACAAACCCGAUCCUGUCUGAUCUCGGAAGCUAAGCAGGGUUGGACCUGGUUAGUACUUGGAUGGGAGACCACCUAGAAAGACCAGGUGCUGUAGGUG